rnacentral:piRNA from 1 species
UAUUUUGAAUAUGGUCCAUGUUUCCC